AACGCUGGCGGCGUGCCUAANACAUGCAAGUCGAGCGGACCCUUCGGGGUUAGCGGCGGACGGGUGAGUAACACGUGGGUAAUCUGCCCAACUGACUGGAAUAACGCCUGGAAACGGGUGCUAAUGCCGGAUAGGCAACUGGUAGGCAUCUACCGGUUGGGAAAGGUGCAACUGCACCGCAGAUGGAGGAGCCCGCGGCGCAUUAGCUAGUUGGUGGGGUAACGGCCUACCAAGGCGACGAUGCGUAGCCGACCUGAGAGGGUGACGGCCACACUGGGACUGAGACACGGCCCAGACUCCUACGGGAGGCAGCAGUAGGGAAUCUUCCGCAAUGGGCGCAAGCCUGACGGAGCAACGCCGCGUGAGCGAAGAAGGCCUUCGGGUUGUAAAGCUCAGUCACUCGGGAAGAGCGGACGAGGGAGUGGAAAGCCCUCGUCGAGACGGUACCGAGAGAGGAAGCCCCGGCUAACUACGUG
rnacentral:rRNA from 1 species